rnacentral:rRNA from 1 species
UACGUAGGGGGGCAAGCGUUGUCCGGAUUUAUUGGGCGUAAAGAGCGUGUAGGCGGCCAAGCAGGUCCGCUGUGAAAACUCGAGGCUCAACCUCGAGACGUCGGUGGAAACCGUUUGGCUAGAGUCCGGAAGAGGAGAGUGGAAUUCCCGGUGUAGCGGUGAAAUGCGCAGAUAUCGGGAAGAACACCCGUGGCGAAGGCGGCUCUCUGGGACGGUACUGACGCUGAGACGCGAAAAGCGUGGGGAGCGAACAGG